GGGAGGACUUACCUCCGACCCGGUACAUGUUGGCAGCCAUGCCCGGGCUGGGGAGGGGUCUGGGUCGCUCCCGCCGCCGCUGCCUCCAGGCCUGACCAAGAUGGAGCUCUGGCUGAAAGAGAACUGACUACAUCACAAUCCUGAUGAGAUGGAAGAAAAAGGAAAGCAUUAAAAUGCAUCUCCUACAACUGUCCUUCAGCCUCCAACUGCCUGGCUUUCUGCUACAGAUUUAAGGAAACAUAUCCUCACAUUUUCCCCCAGCGUAAACAAGGAGGAGGAGCCAACACCAUGUGACCUGCCACCUCAUCAUUUACUGCUAGCAAGUGCCCAGUGACCACUGUUUUGAGAAUCUUUGGGAGGAUUUUUCUGUGCAGUU